rnacentral:rRNA from 1 species
AUUGAACGCUGGCGGCAGGCUUAACACAUGCAAGUCGAACGGUAACAUAAAGAAGCUUGCUUCUUUGAUGACGAGUGGCGGACGGGUGAGUAAUGCUUGGGAAUCUAGCUUAUGGAGGGGGAUAACUACGGGAAACUGUAGCUAAUACCGCGUAGAAUCGAGAGAUGAAAGUGUGGGACCUUCGGGCCACAUGCCAUAGGAUGAGCCCAAGUGGGAUUAGCUAGUUGGUGAGGUAACGGCUCACCAAGGCAACGAUACAUAGCCGACCUGAGAGGGUGAUCGGCCACACUGGGACUGAGACACGGCCCAGACUCCUACGGGAGGCAGCAGUAGGGAAUCUUCGGCAAUGGACGGAAGUCUGACCGAGCAACGCCGCGUGAGUGAAGAAGGUUUUCGGAUCGUAAAGCUCUGUUGUAAGAGAAGAACGAGUGUGAGAGUGGAAAGUUCACACUGUGACGGUAUCUUACCAGAAAGGGACGGCUAACUACGUGCCAGCAGCCGCGGUAAUACGUAGGUCCCGAGCGUUGUCCGGAUUUAUUGGGCGUAAAGCGAGCGCAGGCGGUUAGAUAAGUCUGAAGUUAAAGGCUGUGGCUUAACCAUAGUACGCUUUGGAAACUGUUUAACUUGAGUGCAAGAGGGGAGAGUGGAAUUCCAUGUGUAGCGGUGAAAUGCGUAGAUAUAUGGAGGAACACCGGUGGCGAAAGCGGCUCUCUGGCUUGUAACUGACGCUGAGGCUCGAAAGCGUGGGGAGCAAACAGG